UCUAAGAGAGCAAGAACCAGAGGCAAGUCUCUCUCUACUCGCUGCCUGCUACUCGCUACAAGGGGACCGAUAAACCCACACUUCCUAAGAAAGUAAGAACCAGAGGCGAAUACUCACCAGUAGAGAUGGAACCCACUAUGGAGCCGCAGAAUCCCAGAUUAGAGUCUAGUUUUUCUGGUGUUGUUGAAGAAGAAGAAGAAGAAGAGAAGCAUUUUCUUUCACAUUUUCUUCUCUUAAGCAACCAAGAGCAAGGAUAACUUCCUCAAUUACAGUUCAAGCCUAUGUAUUUUUAUGGGUCUUCCUCGCAACAAGGGUGACAUGAGACAACUUGUGGCAACAAUAUCACCAUCUUCUUUACCAAGCAAGCGGUCAAGUUUCCAAUUUAUUUGGCAUACUCAUGACUGGUGAGUCCACAUCUGUAGAGGAGCCUCGUUUCUCCAAUUUGAUAACCAGAUUGUGAGUGUUUAGUUAGACCGACAAUUUCGGACCAAAUUUCUAAUUGUCUAAUUUUCUAAUCCUUUCACAUAUUAUUUGGCUAAUAGAGAUCAAUUUGUUAAACUUGUCAAGAAACGAAGAUUUGU